rnacentral:rRNA from 1 species
AGAACGAACGCUGGCGGCACGCCUCAUACAUGCAAGUCGAGCGCGAAACCACCUUCGGGUGAUGUAGAGCGGCGAACGGGUGAGUAACAGGUGGAUAAUCUGCCCUUUGGCGGGGGGACAACAGCUGGAAACGGCUGCUAAUACCGCAUGUGAUUGUGGGCUUAUGGCCUGCAAGGAAAGGCGCCUCAAAGCGCCACCAAAGGAUGAGUCCGCCCCCAUUAGCUAGUUGGUGAGAUAACAGCUCACCAAGGCUUCGAUGGGUAGCCGAGCUGAGAGGUUGAUCGGCCACACUGGAACUGAGA